GGUGAUGCCUGCCCAGUGAGUAAUAUAAUUACUUUAACGGCCGCAGUACUUUGACUGUGCUAAGGUAGCAAAAUCAAUAGGCCUUUAAUUGGGGUCGGGUAUGAAUGGCUAUAAAAUGGAUUAGAGCUGUCUCUUAAGUAACUUUAUAAUUUACUUAAUAGGUGAAAAUGCCUAUAAAAAAAUAUUAGACGAGAAGACCCUUAGAGUUUUUAUAAUAAGUAUUUAGUAAUACUAGCAUUUUUGUUGGGGCGACAAUAUAUUCAAAUAAUAUAACAUAUAUAAUAUAUAACAAUACUCAUAUAUGAAAUAUGAACAUAACUACCUAAGGGAUAACAGCAUAAUUUAUAAUUAAGAUUGUGACCUCGAUGUUGGACUAGGGACUAUAUAUAGCAGUUCUAUA
rnacentral:rRNA from 1 species